UGGGGAAUAUUGCACAAUGGGCGCAAGCCUGAUGCAGCCAUGCCGCGUGUAUGAAGAAGGCCUUCGGGUUGUAAAGUACUUUCAGCGGGGAGGAAGGGAGUAAAGUUAAUACCUUUGCUCAUUGACGUUACCCGCAGAAGAAGCACCGGCUAACUCCGUGCCAGCAGCCGCGGUAAUACGGAGGGUGCAAGCGUUAAUCGGAAUUACUGGGCGUAAAGCGCACGCAGGCGGUUUGUUAAGUCAGAUGUGAAAUCCCCGGGCUCAACCUGGGAACUGCAUCUGAUACUGGCAAGCUUGAGUCUCGUAGAGGGGGGUAGAAUUCCAGGUGUAGCGGUGAAAUGCGUAGAGAUCUGGAUGAAUACCGGUGGCGAAGGCAGCCCCCUGGACGAAGACUGACGCUCAGGUGCGAAAGCGUGGGGAGCAAACAGG
rnacentral:rRNA from 1 species